UUACACUGUUGACACUGAAUGCAAUAAACUGCAUUCCUAUCCUGGGGAGAGAAGUGAUUGUUUACUGAAAUGCCCCUCCCACUGUGUGGGUUAAAUAAAAAUUUCCUCUGUGUAAAUGUCCAAUUUAGAUGUUUUUUAUUUUGUGUAAUUGUACUCCUCUGAAAGGAAGCUUGAACCAACAUAUCCUUAAGGUUUUUAUUUUUCCUAAAUGCCGAAAUUAUUUUAUGAUGUUGAAGAAUUGGAUGAUUUUCCAUGGUAGUCUGAAAAUUAUUUUUUAGGAUGUUUUGUAGUGUGGUGAUCAGAGGGAUGAUUACGUCAUCCAUGCCAAUUAGGCAGUCUCCACUCUGCCGCUGAUUUUGCGGAUUAUCUGCACCUGUUGGAAGACAAAGAUCUUUCAGCGUGGAGCUCUUGAUGGUGCGGAGGAAACGCCUGGAAUAUCCCCUGCGUCUGAGUUUUGUGGAGGAGGGCAUGGGUGUCGGUUGGCUUAAAGUAGACCCUGAGGUUAGCAUAUGAUGGAGCGUACCUGUGUCCCAUAGCAGUGCCAUGGAUUUGUAAGUAAUGUUGUUUAUCAAAUAAAAAAUCAUUGCAUGUUAAGCAGAUUUCCAAUAAUUGUAGGAUUUCAUCAUCAGGUCUGUCUUUGUCCGGGUAUUUAUUGAAGAUCGUCCGUAUUGUCUGCAAUCCUACUCUGGUGUCGAUAUGGAUGACAAGCGUUGGGUAACGUGUUGCGUAUUGCGUCACUUCCUGUUCUUGCACCACUCAUUCACUUGCUAGCGUUUGGUGUUCGGUGGUAUUGGUGUACUUCAGUCGACAUAUUUUGUGUUAGCUUUUACUGUGGUUGAUUU